AAGAUAUUAAGUCAUAAAUAAACAAUAGCUAUACAGGGUGAUUCAUUAAGGAUAAGACACUCAUUUUCUCGCUUGUUAAAGUUAAAUGAUUUUGGACUAAAUUUCCAUUGUUGUUUUAAUGUUUUCAAUACAGAAGUCACUAUUUUUCUAUAGUGUAAUAUACACUAAUUGUUAUUGACCAAGAUAUGACAAAUGAUAAAAUUGUACUAAAGUUAUAUAACGGGUUUUAAUAUAAUCUGAACAAUUAAUUAGAGUUACUUUGGAAUAUUCUUCAGAAACUUUAAAUAUUAAGGAUAUUAUACAGUUUAAUAGCUUUCAAAUUCCACAUUGCAAGCCCAACUUUAAUAUAAAUGAAUUGAUAUAAGAUAAUAUAACACAGUGUUUUGUCAAAAACUUUAAGUAGUGAA